rnacentral:lncRNA from 1 species
UUCUGAUUAAAAGUAUAUGUGCCCAGUAAUUAAGGAUUCUUAGUUUAAAUCUGCGACCUUUGACAUGGGAAAUUUUUGUCAAUUAAAACUCAAACUUCCAUUAAGAUUAUGGUGGAUAAAGAAAUUCCUAAUUAUGAUUUAUGAUAAGAAAUUCCUAAUUAUGAUUUAUGAUCAACUUGCCUCUUGCCACUUGCAUGUUUCGUUCAAUUAUCAGUUUUUAACUUCCAAGUUAAAUUGAUGUAAUAGGAUGAUUUCCCGUAAAGGGGCUCUUCAAUUUUUUGAAAGGUUAAUAAAUGC